ensembl:lncRNA
AGCCUUGGAAGUUGAAGCACACGAUUAUGGUAAGGGGCGUUACAUUUCCAACACACGCUUGAGGUUUUUGGCCAAUCACAACACAAUGGGUCAGCUGACCAAUCAAAGCGCUCUGGACUGUUCGGAAGGAGGGGCUUUGGAGAAACCGGAACUCAAUCAGAGCGUUUCAGACACACUGGGAAUAGAGGUACUGCAAUAACAUACAAUAUCUGCUGGAGAAUCUGGAAGCGAAGCCGAUUUCUUUUAAUUCUCUGCCCUAGAGAUGAACCUUCCCCUCUGAUUCAUGCUCAUGACCAUUAAAUCCUUUUCACAUUGUUAAAUUGUUAAACUCCUAGCCACAAAUCGUUCCUGCUUCUGUACAUGCA